AGGGAAUCUUGCGCAAUGGGCGAAAGCCUGACGCAGCCAUGCCGCGUGAAUGAUGAAGGUCUUAGGAUUGUAAAAUUCUUUCACCGGGGAAGAUAAUGACGGUACCCGGAGAAGAAGCCCCGGCUAACUUCGUGCCAGCAGCCGCGGUAAUACGAAGGGGGCUAGCGUUGCUCGGAAUUACUGGGCGUAAAGGGCGCGUAGGCGGAUAUUUAAGUCGGGGGUGAAAGCCCAGGGCUCAACCCUGGAACAGCCUUCGAUACUGGAUAUCUUGAGUACGGGAGAGGUGAGUGGAACUCCGAGUGUAGAGGUGAAAUUCGUAGAUAUUCGGAAGAACACCAGUGGCGAAGGCGACUCACUGGCCCGUUACUGACGCUGAGGCGCGAAAGCGUGGGGAGCAAAC
rnacentral:rRNA from 1 species